rnacentral:rRNA from 1 species
CAGUCGCCGCGGUAAUACGUAGGGUGCAAGCGUUAAUCGGAAUUACUGGGCGUAAAGCGUGCGCAGGCGGUUCGCUAAGACAGAUGUGAAAUCCCCGGGCUUAACCUGGGAACUGCAUUUGUGACUGGCGGGCUAGAGUAUGGCAGAGGGGGGUAGAAUUCCACGUGUAGCAGUGAAAUGCGUAGAGAUGUGGAGGAAUACCGAUGGCGAAGGCAGCCCCCUGGGCCAAUACUGACGCUCAUGCACGAAGGCGUGGGGAGCAAACAGGAUUAGAUACCCCCGUAGUCCCUGUCUCUUAUAC